UUUAGUGUGGUACACGGAAACAUACAACAACGCAUCAGCACACACACAACAAGUCCCAUAUUUUAACUCUCACACACCGCAACUCCCAUCCCGACCCUCUGCUUCUCACGCAGCUGCUCACACCACCGUGACUACCAGUUGGGUUACUGCUGCUGAUAUCCCUGUAACGAUCCAAGGUACUUUGUGACACAAAAUGGCAUCAAGUUAACAUGGAACAACUCAAGGAGAAGUGGAAGAUUUUCCCACUUAUGCACUAGCUCAACAACAUAAUCUUUUCAGGGAGUUCGUCUUAACUUUUGCUUUAAUUAUAUAGUUACAUUGAGAACAAUGUAACAUUUUAAGUUGGGGGAGGCUUUAUUUUGAUAGAUACUUUUGUGAUGGGGUAUGAUAUGUCAUGAUGGAUGAUAAUUUGGUAGAUUGAUUUUGUUUUGGUAUUUUAUUAAUGACAUUUAUAUUAGUAUAAUUUGUUUUUCUUUAAAUUAUUAUUUUAUUUUAUUUUUUAUUACUAGCUUCUUUAGUUUCUUGUUGUUUAGUUGUAGGAAUGGUGUUGGAAUGUGAUUUUUUCCCCUUGGCCAAUUUUUGGCUUGCUUGGUACCAACACAUUUAAACCUUGGCAUAUGAAUUUUUGAAUUUUGAAAAAGAAAAAAAGAUUGAAGUGAGGAUUCUUGUUGUGACUUUUAGACUCAAUUUUUGGUUCUUACUUUCGCUAAUUAGUCUCUUUAGGCUAUGAGUGGCUUUUAGAGUUCAUUUGUUUCAAUUGGGUUUUCAUGUGCCAUGUGUGGUGAGGUUUUCGCGGGUUCUUUUUCAUUAUUUGUAGUCUAGAACUUGCCGGGAAUAAGUUUCAAGGCGAAAUCCUAGACUACACUUGGUUUGGAAAAUGAUGUUAGGCCUUUCUUGAAAAGUUUUUGUGCCUUAAAUUUUCUACCCUUGCAUAUUUUCCCUAGUCAACCCUUUUUGAGCCUUUAACCUUUUCUUUGAUAACCAUGUUACAAUCUUUACCCUGUUCGUCAUUGAUCCAUCUUUUGGUACCCUACCUCCUUAAGUGCGUUGAAAGUGCAAACAUAGGCUAAAAGCCUAAGUUUUAGGGGUGAUGGUUGGUAAAGUGUGAUGUGGAAGUUGCUUGAAAGGUGAAAAUGAAAAAAAGAAAUAGUGGUCUUCCUUGAAAUUUUGAAAAAAAAAAGAAAAAAAAAAAAAGAACAAACAAAACAAAAAGAAUGAAGGAAGAAUAAAGAGUUGUGAAUAAUGGAAAGACUAGAUGGUGAAAUGAAAAGAUGAAGAAAAUGGUAGAAAAAUUUUAAACGAAGUGUGCUUUGAUUGUUGAAAAUUGUAGUGCUUAGGGAGGUUUUUGAUUCACUAUUUUCAAAUUAUGCCCCUACCUUAACCAAAAGCCUACAUUACAACCCUUUAAGUCCUAAUAGAUUUUGAACCAAGUGUGUCUACAUUAGUGGAGAAAUAUAUGAAGGACAAGCUUAUGGUACUACUUGUGUGCAUUUGAACAUCUUUGUGUGUGUGUGUGUGUGAGAGAGACAGAGAGAGAGAGAGAGAGCUAAUUCUUUCCAUUUGAUAUCCCAUUUUUGUUUUAAAUUGCACUUUGUGAGUUGGGAUUAUCUCUUAAUUGUGAGGGCACAUGAGAACUUGAAUUGUGAAUUUGUUCCAAAUUUCAAUUUAGAGGAAUGAACAAAAGAAUGUUGUUUUUUGAUAAAAAGGCAAAUUUUGAAGCUUUAGUGUCAUGACUUAAUUGCUACUUUGAUUAGUUUGGUAUUUGCACACUUGAAAAAAAAAAAAAAAGAGUUUUUGAGAAGUUGGUGAUUCAUAUGUUUUGGAUUAAUUGUUGGUGCCAAUCAAAGUCAUGUUUUUGUGCUUAAAGUAGAUCUUUUUGACUUUGUAUAAUAUUGGUGAACUAUUGAGUUGAGUCCAUGGAAGGGAAUUGUAAGUUUUGAUUUACUUGAGGACAAGCAAUAGUUUAAGUUUGGGGGUUUGAUAAGUUGGUAUUUUUUAACUUAUUUCUUCUUUAAUCUUAGAUUGUUGUUAUGUUUUAAUUGAAAAAAUAGUGCAUUUAAUGUCGUUUACUUCAAUUUUAUAGGUCUAUAUGAUUCAUGAAGAAAUCAAACGAAAAACAAGUCAAAAAGAGGUCAAAGUAAAGAAAAUGACAAAAAUGGCUAAAACUGCAAAAACAGGACAGAUUUGCAAAUCUGAAAAUAUGGGGCUGUUUUGGUCGAAUUUUGAUGUGGAAAUAUUGGGGAGCUACAAAAGCAACACUUGAAGGAAAAUAUCAUGAUCUUUGGCACAAAACACAAUUCUUGGAGGCUAGAGUUCUACACCACACUUUGGAAUUGAAGAUUUGGGUUGAAAACUUUCUUAAACUUUUCUCCAUUUCUUUGAUUCUUUGCUUUGUAAUGAAUAUCUAAGUGUGUAGUAUUUAUUUUCUUCACUUCAAUCUUGAUUAUGAAAAUAUUCUAUGAUUAAAGCGUUGGAUGAAACUCCUGUUUUGCUUAUAUAUUAAAUGACUUUUAUUGCUAA